GACGUAACGCUGGCGGCGUGCCUAAUACAUGCAAGUCGAGCGAGCUUGCCUAGAUGAUUUUAGUGCUUGCACUAAAUGAAACUAGAUACAAGCGAGCGGCGGACGGGUGAGUAACACGUGGGUAACCUGCCCAAGAGACUGGGAUAACACCUGGAAACAGAUGCUAAUACCGGAUAACAACACUAGACGCAUGUCUAGAGUUUGAAAGAUGGUUCUGCUAUCACUCUUGGAUGGACCUGCGGUGCAUUAGCUAGUUGGUAAGGUAACGGCUUACCAAGGCGAUGAUGCAUAGCCGAGUUGAGAGACUGAUCGGCCACAAUGGAACUGAGACACGGUCCAU
rnacentral:rRNA from 1 species